rnacentral:rRNA from 1 species
GACGAACGCUGGCGGCGUGCUUAACACAUGCAAGUCGAACGGAAAGGCCCUGCUUUUGUGGGGUGCUCGAGUGGCGAACGGGUGAGUAACACGUGAGUAACCUGCCCUUGACUUUGGGAUAACUUCAGGAAACUGGGGCUAAUACCGGAUAGGAGCUCCUGCUGCAUGGUGGGGGUUGGAAAGUUUCGGCGGUUGGGGAUGGACUCGCGGCUUAUCAGCUUGUUGGUGGAGUAGUGGCUUACCAAGGCUUAGACGGGUAGCCGGCCUGAGAGGGUGACCGGCGACAAGGGGACUGAGAUAGGGACCAGAAUGCAACGGGAGGCAGUAGUGGGAAAUAUUGCGGAACGGGCGGGAGUCAGAUACAGAAACGCCGGGUGCGGAAAAACGUCUUUCGAGGUGAAAACCGCUUUCGCCUGAGACGAGGCGUGAGUGACGGUAAUGGGUAAAGAAGCACCGGCUAACUACGUG